rnacentral:lncRNA from 1 species
UUUAUUGUUAUCAUUAUUUGUGAUAACAACAUAAGACCUGCACUCUUAGCAAAAUUUUGAGUACACGAUAUGGUAUUAUUAACUAUAGGCACUAUACUGUACUGUAGAUCUCUAAGGACUUAUUCAUCUUGUAACUGAACUUUGUGCCCUUUGAUUAAUACCUGUCUGUUUCUCCCUACUCCCAGUCCCUAGGAACCGCCGUUCUGCUCCAUUUCUAUGAGUUUGACUAUGUAAGUGAUAUCAUGUAGUAUUUGUCCUUUUGUGUCUAGCUUAUUUCUCUUAGCAUAAUGUCCUCCAGGCUCAUCCAUGUCCCAAUGGCAUGAUUUCCUUCUUUUUCUAAGGCUGAAUAAUAUUUCAUUUUAUGCAUAUACCACAUUUUCUUUAUUCAUCCAUCAAUGGCUAUUUAGAUAAUACAAGCAAGUGGGACUAUAUCAAACUAAAAAGUUUCUGCACAGAAAAGGAAACAAUCAACAAAAUGAAAAGGCAACCUAUGGAAUGGGUGAAAAUCUUUGCAAAUCUUUUUUUUUUUUUUUUAAGAUUUUAUUUAUUUAUUUGACAGAGAGAGAGACAGCCAGCAAGAGAGGGAACACAAGCAGGGGGAGUGGGAGAGGAAGAAGCAGGCUCCCAGCGGAGGAGCCUGAUGUGGGGCUCGAUCCCAUAACGCCGGAAUCACGCCCUGAGCUGAAGGCAGACGCUUAACCGCUGUGCCACCAAGGCGCCCCAAAAUCUUUGCAAAUCUGAUCUGAUAUGGGGUUCAUAUCCAAAACACAUAAGAAACUUCUAUAGCCUAAUAGCAAAAAACCAAAUCACCCCACUAAAAAGUGGGCAAAGAAUUGAAGAGAUAUUUUUCCAAAGAAGACAUCCAGAUGGCCAAUGAGAAGGUAUAUGAAAAGGUGCUCAACAUCACCAGUUAUCAGGGAAAUGCAAAUCAAGACCACAAUAAAAACAACUCAAGACUGUGAUGUCUGCGAUUCUCAUGAGCCAUGGACCUCUGGGGCCAUCGUGACUUCCCACAAGAUCAGGCACAUAGCAGGCACUUGUGCCCACACGUGUUCUUCCUCUCGUGGAUCCACCAUACCACGGGAGCUGCGGGGAGACUCCACAGUGGCCAUUUGAGUUGGUGCUCUUGCUGCUCUGCCCUCUUGAGGCCUGGUUCUUCAUCAUUUCCUGGCUUAGGCUCCCUGGUUGGGCACAGAGAGGAAGUCACUGUCUUUGGAUUUUCAGGACACCUGGAGUUUCCUUAGACUCCCUUUAUGCCACCUCACCUCUGCCCACUGCUACCUAGACUUUCCCUCCCAGGUGUUGUCACUGGCUGAACUUAUAGUUUGGAAUAAAACUAAGCAAUUUUAUUAAUUGUCA